CAGAAAAUAGUUUAAUAAGAAUUUUGGCUUUGGGUGCCAAUGGUGGGGAUGAAAUUUCUUCUUUUUUGA
rnacentral:tRNA from 1 species